UAUUUUUGGCCACUCCAAGAAUGUACAGCAUUUAUUUUAAUAAACUAAGACGUUAAAAAAAAAAAAAAAGGUUGAGAUGCACCAAAUUCGGUACUGAGAGACAGCAAAACAUUGUUGAUGCUUUAUAAGGACAGAGGACAGACUUGUUUUUAAUUCGCACAAAUACAGUCAUGCAAUUUCCCUGGUCACUCAAGAAGAAAUAUCAAUUACUGUGUUACUUUUUUUUUUAGUGGCCAUUGGUUGAUGCCGUUAUUUACAAUCCACAAGAAUUGUUUUCCAAAGAGAUACUCCACUGGAAACAUGCCACAGCAUGCACUUAGCUGGUUGCUAAACACUGAGUUGUUUGAUUCCUCUUUAAGGAUAGGAGGUAUGACUCUGCAUAUACUGGUACAUGAUUCUGGCAAGACAUUUUAAAUUUAUGGUGAGCGUAUGUGUACCAGGGUGAAAAUGGGAUGUUCUUGUAGAAUAUAAUGCACAUUAUCUGACUUCUGGAAGUUAAUAUUCUAAAGGAGAGAAGCCCAUAAUCCUAUUAAAUAUAGUGUACAUACAACUAUGAAGAUGUAUACUUAAUUUUUAAAUUUUGGUCUUUCUUUUGGAGUCAGAGGAGGAAAGUUGCUGAUUGAAAAUCAGAGGCUAAAGAAAACAGAAUUAGGGCUUGGUGUGAUAGCAGAGUCUUGAUGUACAGUGCACAGAUUGCGCUUGCAUAAAUAUUACAUAUUUUAAGUGGAUUUUUCCAAAUUCGAAAUAUAAUGAAAUCUUUUCAAAAGAAUGGCCAUCACAGAUGGGAAACAAUUUCAGGCAUAGCAGCUCAUUCAAUAAAGAGGUGGGACCAGAGUAAUAGGCAUUAUUAGUACAACAGUAUACUGUGCAAGGUGAAAACUGUAGCAGUAGAGUUCUGAUCUUCACUCAAGACAAGUAGUUUUUGUUUCCUUUACACAUCAUAGAUAGAUAUGCAAAUAUGCUAUUCUUUUCCCUUUCUUCUGAAAAGCUUCUUUUUUGCACAAGUCCAUAAUACAUGAUUCACAACCACACCUAACUCUUUUCCUGAGAAUCAGUCAUUGAUCCCAUGCUGAUUGAUAUGAAAUCUGGAUGAACUAGCGAUUGGGAAGAGUCCUGAAGAGACAGGGCAGGGAGUGAGAGUGUUGUUGGUUCACAAACUAGCCCGCAUACUCGAGGACAAGGAGCUAGUGAAGAAAGAGACCACUCCAGAUUGGUAGGUGGUGGUGUUACCAAGCUGCUUGAUGUGUACAGAAGCCAAUACUAUGGCCCCAGCUUUCGAGAGACAAAAAAGCGCUAUUGUGAGUCCUGCUGCAAGGAGACAUGAGGCACAGCUCAAAUCUCUCCUUGGGGUUCUGUCAAACGUCAUGAGUUAGGGGAGGAGGGCUGGUAUGCUAAGCCCUGGCAAGGCAGAGUCUGAUGGGAGGGCUCUGGAACUUGGCCAUUACGUGAGGUGUGGGAAAGGGGCUCCAGCACCACAUUUUCCCGGACGACGGACCAGUCCUUUCUGAAAGGGUUCCGGCGUUCAGGUUCCUGUCAAGACGUGCUUUUAGUUCCGAGGCAGAAGGGAAUUUGGUUCCGGGUGUUGCCGAGGUCAAAGCCCUCUCCUCCGCGCAUGCUUCGGCUGCUCGGCCUGCGGUUUUGUUCUGCUGGCUCUGAAAAUCUGUUCAGGGUCUUAGAACCAGGGGAGGGCCGGUUUGCGGGCUGGUUCUGUGGUUACAGCAGGUUUAAUAAGCAACGGAACUUGCACAGGACGCUUGUCUCUGGUAGCCGCAAAUCGAGGAAAUCUCCACAGGAGCCUGGCAGAAUUUUUGAAGUUUAUAUCGAGGCCUCAACAGAGUUCAUUCCGCCGUACCUUCCAGAUGGUCUCAGCCACACCUUAUUCCCUCAAAGCCGUGCCCUUGAAAUAGCUCCUAGUGUGGGAAUGAUGGCAGAACGCACAUUCCAAGGACUGGAGAGGGUAAGGAGCCUCCAGUUGCCUGGAUUCAGGUUUAAGUCAACCAGUGGUAACAUCCUCUCGCUGACCUCCUCAACAAGUGUUUCUUAUGAUUUCAAGUUAAUUGAGCCUGAGGACAUGUAUGUGGUUUCCUAUAGUACAGAGGCUGGAGUGAAAAAGAAUGUCUUUGUGGGUUUUCAGAACAAGUUUCAAGUAUCUGGACUACAGCAAUUACAGAAAAAGGAAUGAUGACCUUAAAUCAUGAACGGGCAUUUGUCACUGAGCAUCUCAAAUACCGGAUAGAAAUCUUGCUUCUUUCAGAAAUUUACCCCAGACUGGAGCUACCAAUCACAGUUACUGAAGUGAAGCCUUUCAAGAAGAUGGUUCCAAUGCUCUCUUUCCAAAAACUGCCCAGUUCCAAAUUUGCCCACUGGGAAGCAGUGAAAAGAGAAUGGAAUUUAAAGUCCUGAAGACCCAGGUAUGAAUCUUGGCUUUAACACUUCUUAGUUGUGCAUUUGGUCAUAUGUUUUAAUGUCUCUGCACUUCAAAUUCUUCAUCAUUUAUUUAUUCAUUUAACAAAUAUGUAAUGAAUUCAUAUUACAUGCCAAUUAUUCUUCCACGCACUGGGGAUAUAAUGUUAAUAAAAAAAAUAAAUAUAGUUCAUGAUCUCUUAGAAUCUCCAUUCCAGUGGCAUAGGCAAGACUUCAUCAGAUAUUUACACUGUGGAACAUAAAUCUGCAAAGUAUAAUACAUUUUCCAAAGAGAACUUUUCUAUAAUGGUUGGGGGAUGAAAGUAUUUUGAGAAAGUGUUCCCUUAGACAGCCUGAUGCUUAGCUGAGAUUGCAAGAAAAAGAAAACCAACGAGGUAGAACGCUUUGGGGAGAGGGAUGGGAAAGAUGAUUCUCCACAGAGGUAAAAGGUGUGCAGAUAGACACCCGGUAGUAGGAGGGAGUGUGGCUUAUUGAAGAAACUUUAGAGCCGAGAGCUCGGUGCAGGUAGGAAAGUUAUACAGGUAAGGAUGGACAGGUGAGGAAGUGACAGUGAUGCUCCUCAAGUACCCAUUUACUCAUGUACGACAUGAGAUUUCACUUGGGGGAGCUCUAUGAAUAGUGUCACAUUUGUGCUGAGGGAUUAAAGUCCAUGCAGAAUUACCUAGUUCCUCUUCCCCCCCGUAAUGAUUGAGGACACCUUGUAUUGUGGCAAAGCCUCCAAAGGUAAGUGGCCUGGAUGUAACUUAUUGUCUGGAGGACAAGUGUUCUGAAGGGAUGAAUCAUUCUAUGGAAGACUGAGUAAAUAAAAAAAUAAGAAUAUACUUUGUUAGGCCACUGAUAUUUUAAGGCUGUUACUGAAGCACAACAUAGCCUAACCUGACUCUUAUAGAUGGUGUCCAGCUACUUGGGGCCUUACAGAUCAAAUUAAUAAUUUGGAUCAUUUUUUUUCUGAGACCAAUGGGAAAGUACUGAAUUAUAUUAAAAUAAACAGAAAUUAUUAGGUAUUUUUCUUUGAAAAAACCCAUUCUCUAAUAAAUACUUGCAGGAAUGAUAAGGAAAGUGAGAUUAAGAGAGUUCUGACAACUGUAAACAGAAUCACAGCUACUGCUGUCAUCAUCACAAAGAGAGUCCAAGUAAGAAAAAUUAAGUCUGAAAUUUUGCAAGAUGCAAACCAUCAAACAAAUAUUCUUUUGUUUUAUUUGAAUCUGCUUUCCCCUAGCCUUAGAAGCCCACAUCUUUGAUCAAUCUGCUGUCCUCUGUGUGGUUGUCAUCCACAUACUGAAAAGUAAUUCUGUGAAAUUGGCUAGGCUGUUCUGCCCUGCCAUCAAUAGCAAUUUGGUACAUAUGGAUUUGAAAAUGGAACAUUGCUUAAUGGGAAAGUCCUCAAAUGUUUCAAAGUCAAGUUUUCAAUCUCCACCCUUGCUGAGAUGCCAACAUGUGUUACUUUAACUCAGUCACAAAUAAGAUGUUCUCAUUUCUUCUUCUUUUGCUAAUCAGUCAAAGUUUGGAUUGAUAAAUACAUUUGGAACCUGGCUGAGUAACGUAGUAAAUUUCAGAAAGUGAGCUUUUUAUGACAUUUUGUUAGAUGCUAUUUCUACAGAGCAAAUCAUGGAGAAUCUUGAUUCUAUGCCCUGUGAAGUUAAUACAGAGGGACAUUUAAUCAACGAUGUACAAAAAAAAAAAAAAAUUGUACAUACAUGUUUUAGUUGUAUGGGGGGAAUGAGCUGACCAGAGACAAACACAACCCUUGUCCUGCCUGAGUUUACAGUAAGGGGAUAGGACAACUGUAGCUACCUUCUUUGGUCAAAUUUGCUUUACUGAUAAUGGAAAGGUAACCUAACUUGUUACUAUUUAUUAACCAUCUAAUAGAUGAUAGAAGUUGUACUAGGGUAUUUUUAAUUAUUAAAUAACUUAAAUUUUAGUACUCUCAUUUAAUUUUUGUAAUAACAGAAAUUGUCCCUCUGUGGUAGACAGUGUGUAAAGAGCUUUAUAUACAGUGUUUCAGCAGCUCCUUGCUACAGCCCUGGUACAAGGGGGUUAUUAACCACAUUCUGCAGAAGAGAAAAUUAAGGCUCAGAGACAUGUCUUGAUGUCCCCAAUCAUAUGUGAUAUGCAUCCCAUAUCCAUGCUCUUUUUCUUGCUACCAUGCAUAGAA